rnacentral:rRNA from 1 species
CACUCUGGGAUAAGCGCUGGAAACGGGGUCUAAUACUGGAUACGACCGACCCUCGCAUGGGGUGGUUGGUGGAAAGAUUUAUCGGUGGUGGAUGGACUCGCGGCCUAUCAGCUUGUUGGUGGGGUAAUGGCCUACCAAGGCGACGACGGGUAGCCGGCCUGAGAGGGCGACCGGCCACACUGGGACUGAGACACGGCCCAGACUCCUAACGGGAGGCAGCAGUGGGGAAUAUUGCACAAUGGGCGAAAGCCUGAUGCAGCGACGCCGCGUGAGGGAUGACGGCCUUCGGGUUGUAAACCUCUUUCAGCAGGGAAGAAGCUUUUGUGACGGUACCUGCAGAAGAAGCACCGGCUAACUACGUGCCAGCAGCCGCGGUAAUACGUAGGGUGCGAGCGUUGUCCGGAAUUAUUGGGCGUAAAGAGCUUGUAGGCGGUUUGUCGCGUCUGCUGUGAAAAUUCAGGGCUUAACCCUGGACGUGCAGUGGGUACGGGCAGACUAGAGUAUGGUAGGGGAGACUGGAAUUCCUGGUGUAGCGGUGGAAUGCGCAGAUAUCAGGAGGAACACCGAUGGCGAAGGCAGGUCUCUGGGCCAUUACUGACGCUGAGAAGCGAAAGCAUGGGAGCGAACGGAUUAGAUACCCUGGUAGUCCAUGCCGUAAACGUUGGGCGCUAGGCGUGGGUCUCAUUCCACGAGAUCCGUGUCGCAGCUAACGCAUUAAGCGCCCCGCCUGGGGAGUACGGCCGCAAGGCUAAAACUCAAAGGAAUUGACGGGGGCCCGCACAAGCGGCGGAGCAUGCUGAUUAAUUCGAUGCAACGCGAAGAACCUUACCAAGGCU